rnacentral:rRNA from 1 species
CAUGUCUAAGAACAUAUGUGUAAACAUGAAUCUGCGAACGGCUCAUUAUUAACACCCGUAAUCUACCCAGUUUUCGUAUCCAAAACGGAUAUCUGCGUUAAUUUUGGAGCUAAUACGUGCACCAACGUGCUGCUAGCAAUAGUGGCACGCACUUAUUAGAUCAAGGCCGAUUGGGGCAACCCUUUUGGUGACUCUGAAUAAUUUUGCGGAUCGUACGGUCUUGUACCGACGACGUACUGGUCGAGCGGGUGCCCUAUCAACUAUUGAUGGAAGUCUAUGUGUCUUCCAUGGUUGUAACGGGUAACGGAGAAUAAGGGUUCGACUCCGGAGAGCUAGCCUUAGAAACGGCUAUCACAUCCAAGGAAGGCAGCAGGCGCGUAAAUUACCCACUCUCAAUUCGAGGAGGUAGUGACUAUCAAUAACGAGACAGAUCUCUUUGAGGUCUGUCAUUGCAAUGAGCACAACUUAAAGACUUUAACGAAGUCUAUG